GAUGAACGCUGGCGGCGUGCCUAAUACAUGCAAGUCGAGCGAACAGACGAGGAGCUUGCUCCUCUGACGUUAGCGGCGGACGGGUGAGUAACACGUGGAGAACCUACCUAUAAGACUGGGAUAACUUCGUGAAACCGGAGCUAAUACCGGAUAAUAUAUUCAACCGCAUGGUUCAAUAGUGAAAGACGGUUUUGCUGUCACUUAUAGAUGGAUCCGCGCCGCAUUAGCUAGUUGGUAAGGUAACGGCUUACCAAGGCAACGAUGCGUAGCCGACCUGAGAGGGUGAUCGGCCACACUGGAACUGAGACACGGUCCAGACUCCUACGGGAGGCAGCAGUAGGGAAUCUUCCGCAAUGGGCGAAAGCCUGACGGAGCAACGCCGCGUGAGUGAUGAAGGUCUUCGGAUCGUAAAACUCUGUUAUUAGGGAAGAACAAAUGUGUAAGUAACUAUGCACGUCUUGACGGUACCUAAUCAGAAAGCCACGGCUAACUACGUG
rnacentral:rRNA from 1 species